GACCACUCCGUCGGGGAGAUAAGGUCAUACGGACAGCCGGGUCCACUGCCGA
rnacentral:sRNA from 1 species